rnacentral:rRNA from 1 species
CAGCCGCCACGGUAAUACGGAGGGGGCUAGCGUUGUUCGGAAUUACUGGGCGUAAAGCGCACGUAGGCGGAUCAGAAAGUCAGAGGUGAAAUCCCAGGGCUCAACCUUGGAACUGCCUUUGAAACUCCUGGUCUUGAGGUCGAGAGAGGUGAGUGGAAUUCCGAGUGUAGAGGUGAAAUUCGUAGAUAUUCGGAGGAACACCAGUGGCGAAGGCGGCUCACUGGCUCGAUACUGACGCUGAGGUGCGAAAGCGUGGGGAGCAAACAGGAUUAGAUACCCGGGUAGUCCCUGUCUCUUAUAC